rnacentral:rRNA from 1 species
GAUGAACGCUGGCGGCGUGCUUAACACAUGCAAGUCGAACGGAAAGGCUCCUGCUUGCAGGGGUACUCGAGUGGCGAACGGGUGAGUAACACGUGGGUGAUCUGCCCUGCACUUCGGGAUAAGCCUGGGAAACUGGGUCUAAUACCGGAUAGGACGAUGGUUUGGAUGCCAUUGUGGAAAGUUUUUCGGUGUGGGAUGAGCUCGCGGCCUAUCAGCUUGUUGGUGGGGUAAUGGCCUACCAAGGCGUCGACGGGUAGCCGGCCUGAGAGGGUGUACGGGCACAUUGGGACUGAGGUACGGACCAGACUCCUACGGGAGGCAGCAGUGGGGAAUAUUGCACAAUGGGCGCAAGCCUGAUGCAGCGACGCCGCGUGGGGGAUGACGGCCUUCGGGUUGUAAACUCCUUUCGCUAGGGACGAAGCGCAAGUGACGGUACCUGGAGAAGAAGCACCGGCUAACUACGUG